UACGAAGGGGGCAGGCGUUGUUCGGAAUUACUGGGCGUAAAGGGUUCGUAGGUGGCUCGCUAAGUCAGACGUGAAAUCCCUCAGCUUAACUGGGGAACUGCGUCUGAGACUGGCAAGCUCGAGUGCAGGAGAGGAACGCGGAAUUCCAGGUGUAGCGGUGAAAUGCGUAGAUAUCUGGAGGAACACCGGUGGCGAAGGCGGCGUUCUGGACUGCAACUGACACUGAUGAACGAAAGCCAGGGGAGCAAACGGG
rnacentral:rRNA from 1 species